rnacentral:rRNA from 1 species
GACGGACGCUGGCGGCGUGCUUAACACAUGCAAGUCGAACGGAAAGGCCCUGCUUUUGUUGGGUGCACGAGUGGCGAACGGGUGAGUAACACGUGAGUAACCUGCCCUUGACUUUGGGAUAACUUCAGGAAACUGGGGCUAAUACCGGAUAGGAGCUCCUGCUGCAUGGUGGGGGUUGGAAAGUUUCGGCGGUUGGGGAUGGACUCGCGGCUUAUCAGCUUGUUGGUGGGGUAGUGGCUUACCAAGGCUUUGACGGGUAGCCGGCCUGAGAGGGUGACCGGCCACAUUGGGACUGGGAUACGGCCCAGACUCCUACGGGACGCAGCAGUGGGGAAUAUUGCACAAUGGGCGGAAGCCUGAUGCAGCAACGCCGCGUGCGGGAUGACGGCCUUCGGGUUGUAAACCGCUUUCGCCUGUGACGAAGCGUGAGUGACGGUAAUGGGUAAAGAAGCAACGGCUAACUACGUG